AUGCAAUUUCAUUGGUUGAUGA
rnacentral:miRNA from 1 species